UGCGGAGGGUGCAAGCGUUGUCCGGAUUUAUUGGGUUUAAAGGGUGCGUAGGUGGUUUUCUAAGUCUGGUUUGAAAGCUGGUGGCUUAACCCAUCAGAUGUGGCUGGAAACUGGAGGACUUGAAUGCGUUGGCGGUAGCCGGAACGGGUCAUGUAGCGGUGAAAUGCAUAGAUAUGAACCCAGAACACCGAUUGCGAAGGCAGGCUACUACGACGAUGAUUGACACUGAGGCACGAGAGCAUGGGUAGCGAACAGGA
rnacentral:rRNA from 1 species